rnacentral:rRNA from 1 species
CCUACGGGUGGCAGCAGUGAGGAAUAUUGGUCAAUGGACGAGAGUCUGAACCAGCCAAGUAGCGUGAAGGAUGACUGCCCUAUGGGUUGUAAACUUCUUUUAUAUGGGAAUAAAACGUUCCACGUGUGGGAUUUUGUAUGUACCAUAUGAAUAAGGAUCGGCUAACUCCGUGCCAGCAGCCGCGGUAAUACGGAGGAUCCGAGCGUUAUCCGGAUUUAUUGGGUUUAAAGGGAGCGUAGGUGGAUUGUUAAGUCAGUUGUGAAAGUUUGCGGCUCAACCGUAAAAUUGCAGUUGAAACUGGCAGUCUUGAGUACAGUAGAGGUGGGCGGAAUUCGUGGUGUGGCGGUGAAAUGCUUAGAUAUCACGAAGAACUCCGAUUGCGAAGGCAGUUCACUGGACUGCAACUGACACUGGGGCUCGAAAGUGUGGGUAUCAAACAGGAUUAGAUACCCUUGUAGUC